AGUAACACGUGAGCAACCUGCCUUUCAGUGGGGGACAACAUUUGGAAACGAAUGCUAAUACCGCAUAAGACCACAGUGUCGCAUGGCACAGGGGUCAAAGGAUUUAUCCGCUGAAAGAUGGGCUCGCGUCCGAUUAGCUAGAUGGUGAGGUAACGGCCCACCAUGGCGACGAUCGGUAGCCGGACUGAGAGGUUGAACGGCCACAUUGGGACUGAGACACGGUCCAGACUCCUACGGGAGGCAGCAUG
rnacentral:rRNA from 1 species